GUUAUAUACAUUAUACCACACCAGGUACUCUCUCGCAGUAGUUAUAUACAUUAUACCACACCAGGUACUCUCUCGCAGUAGUUAUAUACAUUAUACCACACCAGGUACUCUCUCGCAGUAGUUAUAUACAUUAUACCACACCAGGUACUCUCUCGCAGUAGUUAUAUACAUUAUACCACACCAGGUACUCUCUUGCAGUAGUUAUAUAUAUUAUACCACACCAGGUACUCUCUAGCAGUAGUUAUAUACAUUAUACCACACCAGGUACUCUCUUGCAGUAGUUAUAUAUAUUAUACCACACCAGGUACUCUCUCGCAGUAGUUAUAUACAUUAUACCACACCAGGUACUCUCUCGCAGUAGUUAUAUACAUUAUACCACACCAGGUACUCUCUCGCAUUAGUUAUAUACAUUAUACCACACCAAGUACUCUCUCGCAGUAGUUAUAUAUAUUAUACCACACCAGGUACUCUCUCGCAGUAGUUAUAUACAUUAUACCACACCAGGUACUCUCUCGCAGUAGUUAUAUAUAUUAUACCACACCAGGUACUCUCUCGCAGUAGUUAUAUACAUUAUACCACACCAGGUACUCUCUUGCAGUAGUUAUAUACAUUAUACCACACCAGGUACUCUCUUGCAGUAGUUAUAUAUAUUAUACCACACCAGGUACUCUCUUGCAGUAGUUAUAUAUAUAUUAUACCACACCAGGUACUCUCUAGCAGUAGUUAUAUACAUUAUACCACACCAGGUACUCUCUUGCAGUAGUUAUAUAUAUUAUACCACACCAGGUACUCUCUCGCAGUAGUUAUAUACAUUAUACCACACCAGGUACUCUCUUGCAGUAGUUAUAUAUAUUAUACCACACCAGGUACUCUCUUGCAGUAGUUAUAUAUAUUAUACCACACCAGGUACUCUCUUGCAGUAGUUAUAUAUAUUAUACCACACCAGGUACUCUCUCGCAGUAGUUAUAUACAUUAUACCACACCAGGUACUCUCUUGCAGUAGUUAUAUAUAUUA